rnacentral:rRNA from 1 species
UACGUAGGGGGCGAGCGUUGUCCGGAAUGACUGGGCGUAAAGGGCGCGUAGGUGGCCUUACAAGUCUGGAGUGAAAGUCCCGUUUUUAAGGUGGGAAUGGCUUUGGAAACUGUAAGGCUUGAGUGUGGGAGAGGAUAGCGGAAUUCCCGGUGUAGCGGUGAAAUGCGUAGAGAUCGGGAGGAACACCAGUGGCGAAGGCGGCUAUCUGGACCAAGACUGACACUGAAGCGCGAAAGCGUGGGUAGCAAAC